rnacentral:rRNA from 1 species
GACGAACGCUGGCGGCGUGCUUAACACAUGCAAGUCGAACGGAAAGACCCUGCUUUUGUGGGGUGCUCGAGUGGCGAACGGGUGAGUAACACGUGAGUAACCUGCCCUUGACUUUGGGAUAACUUCAGGAAACUGGGGCUAAUACCGGAUAGGAGCUCCUGCUGCAUGGUGGGGGUUGGAAAGUUUCGGCGGUUGGGGAUGGACUCGCGGCUUAUCAGCUUGUUGGUGGGGUAGUGGCUUACCAAGGCUUUGACGGGUAGCCGGCCUGAGAGGGUGACCGGACACAUUGGGACUGAGAUACGGCCCAGACUCCUACGGGAGGCAGCAGUGGGGAAUAUUGCACAAUGGGCGGAAGCCUGAUGCAGCAACGCCGCGUGCGGGAUGACGGCCUUCGGGUUGUAAACCGCUUUCGCCUGUGACGAAGCGUGAGUGACGGUAAUGGGUAAAGAAGCACCGGCUAACUACGUG